rnacentral:miRNA from 1 species
UAAAAAUGUGUAGAACAGGUAUC